rnacentral:rRNA from 1 species
CCUACGGGAGGCAGCAGUGGGGAAUAUUGCACAAUGGGCGAAAGCCUGAUGCAGCGACGCCGCGUGAGGGAUGACGGCCUUCGGGUUGUAAACCUCUUUCAGCAGGGAAGAAGCGAGAGUGACGGUACCUGCAGAAGAAGCGCCGGCUAACUACGUGCCAGCAGCCGCGGUAAUACGUAGGGCGCAAGCGUUGUCCGGAAUUAUUGGGCGUAAAGAGCUCGUAGGCGGCUUGUCACGUCGGUUGUGAAAGCCCGGGGCUUAACCCCGGGUCUGCAGUCGAUACGGGCAGGCUAGAGUGUGGUAGGGGAGAUCGGAAUUCCUGGUGUAGCGGUGAAAUGCGCAGAUAUCAGGAGGAACACCGGUGGCGAGGGCGGAUCUCUGGGCCAUUACUGACGCUGAGGAGCGAAAGCGUGGGGAGCGAACAGGAUUAGAUACCCUGGUAGUCCACGCCGUAAACGGUGGGAACUAGGUGUUGGCGACAUUCCACGUCGUCGGUGCCGCAGCUAACGCAUUAAGUUCCCGCCUGGGGAGUACGGGCCGCAAGGCUAAAACUCAAAGGAAUUGACGGCNGAGACGNGCGAGACGACGACGAGGAGAGG